GCCUACGGGGGGCAGCAGUAGGGAAUAUUGCUCAAAGGGGGAAACCCUGAAGCAGCAACGCCGCGUGGAGGAUGAAGGUUUUCGGAUUGUAAACUCCUUUUGUUAGAGAAGAUAAUGACGGUAUCUAACGAAUAAGCACCGGCUAACUCCGUGCCAGCAGCCGCGGUAAUACGGAGGGUGCAAGCGUUACUCGGAAUCACUGGGCGUAAAGAGCGCGUAGGCGGGAUAGCAAGUCAGAUGUGAAAUCCUAUGGCUUAACCAUAGAACUGCAUUUGAAACUGUUAUUCUAGAGUAUGGGAGAGGUA
rnacentral:rRNA from 1 species